AGAUCUAAAAGUAUGUAACGAGAAAUAAUGAAAGGUAGGAACAUCUCAGAUUUAUUGAUGUUAUAAUCUUAUCCCCGAUAAGAGGGAAAAAUGAGUUUACAUUCUAAACAAAAUAGAAACUGCAAGAGAAAGAGUAGAAAGGAAUAGCCCAGGCCCCCCUUUUUCCAGAAAUUUCCCCGUGUAUGUAGCUCCUGGAACUUUCAUUCAGUGGUUUUUGACCAACAUGAUCCUCUGCGACGGUCCUUUUCGUCAUUAUUUAAGUACAGUAACGCCUUGACAUAUGCUGUCGAUGGUUUGACCCCAAGUUCGGUCGUGGUGCCCUUCACUAUUUCACCACCUGGGUGAGAUCCCAGCUUGGUUGACCGCCAUGGUCAGAUUUUGACCUAUAUAGUAUGUAUAAAUAAUUAGAAUCUAAAGCAAUGGGUACUAUUGAACCCACCGAACUUGCACUAGGUUUAGCCUUUGCUCAUUCGCCCUGUCUCAGAUUUUCUUAAAGCUAUUUCUUUCUUAUAGCUUCGUCAUUGUUCCAAAGGUUUAACAAAGAGUAGAUGCAUCUCUCUAUAUACUGUAUACAAGUAGUAAAGCCUUUUUAGUGGUUUAGGCUAUAGAAUGAUCAUGUAUGAAUUUGUUUGGCUGGUAACUGCUACUACCUCCUUAAUUAAGAAGAAGCGCCAGUGUAGAUAAACUAAAUACGAUGUUGAAGAUAGGUACCAUUUAUAGUUGGAUUAUCAAUCAGAGAGACAUAAUGUGACGCCUUGAUAUAUGAUGCCUGUAGGACCUUAAAACGAGACGUAAACCUGAUCUGGAGGUCAUCAUUAAUCGCGUUAUUAGUUUAUUAUAAAGUUGCUUUAGCGAAUUUUCACUGUGUAAGUAAAAUUAUUAACUACUCACCUAAGUACUUUUCUUCUUCCCUUUCUAGUAAUAACUGAUGACAUAAUAAUCAUGAGAGAGUAAUAAUUUUUUUUGCCAUAAAGCAUAAUUGCAGGCUGCUUUUAGAAACAAAUUAAUGUGAAAAGGAAAAGUGGGGAGAGAAAACUAUAGAUUAUCUUAGUUUAACUAGGCAUAAACUUUAAUAAAGAAAAGAAGAUUUUUGAAAUAUGUGGUCUUACAUAAGUCAUAAUAUUUGUGUGGCUGCAAAAUUUUUAAAAUUUAUGAUAUGAAACCUAUCAUAUCAUUUGUGAGACUAUAAAUACUUUUUAUUAAGAAAAUAUUAAAAUGUGUAAAUUUUUUAAAAUGGACUAAUAAGAAAAUAGUAUCAAUAACGUAGGGAGUACUAUACACAACCUUUAAAGUUGUCUUUCCAGCAGUAUUCAUAUAGAAUACAGCUCAUGUUCUGAAACUCAAUGCGUAGCAGGAUUGGUUAAAUGUAGACAUCAACCGCCACCUGUUAUCUUACUAUCAAAC
rnacentral:lncRNA from 1 species